rnacentral:lncRNA from 1 species
UUGGGGGAGAAAAGGCUCUGACUGGAGCUCCAGUGGGGCAGGUCUUCUUGGGGAAAUGAUAUCCAUCAAAAUACUGCGUCCCUUGAAUCGACAUUACAAACUGUUCAGAAACUGUAAAGGAGGUGGAUUAAAGGAUCUUAAAGAAACGGUGGACUCACCUGGAUUUAUUACAGCCUCGGUGAAAUGAAAGUUGCUAAUAAAGAACCAAGUUCUAGACUGACGGGAGUCUGGACGCCCGAGUGAUUCGCUGUCUCCUCCAGAGGUACAAGUUUAGCUUUAGCAGCUGAAAGACAUAUUUCUGACACUCUGCAGAAACACUUUCCUAGAAAAAAAACACAAGAUUUUAGAUUUUUCCAAAAAA